rnacentral:rRNA from 1 species
CCUACGGGAGGCAGCAGUGGGGAAUAUUGGACAAUGGGGGCAACCCUGAUCCAGCCAUGCCGCGUGUGUGAAGAAGGCCCUCGGGUUGUAAAGCACUUUCAGUGAGGAAGAACGCCUGGUGGUUAAUACCCAUCAGGAAAGACAUCACUCACAGAAGAAGCACCGGCUAACUCCGUGCCAGCAGCCGCGGUAAUACGGAGGGUGCGAGCGUUAAUCGGAAUUACUGGGCGUAAAGCGCGCGUAGGUGGCUUGAUAAGCCGGUUGUGAAAGCCCCGGGCUCAACCUGGGAACGGCAUCCGGAACUGUCAAGCUAGAGUGCAGGAGAGGAAGGUAGAAUUCCCGGUGUAGCGGUGAAAUGCGUAGAGAUCGGGAGGAAUACCAGUGGCGAAGGCGGCCUUCUGGACUGACACUGACAUUGAGGUGCGAAAGCGUGGGUAGCAAACAGGAUUAGAUACCCUAGUAGUC